rnacentral:rRNA from 1 species
UGGGGAAUUUUGCGCAAUGGGCGAAAGCCUGACGCAGCGACGCCGCGUGUGCGAUGAAGGCCUUUGGGUCGUAAAGCACUGUCGGUCGGGACGAAAACCAACGGACUAAUAUUUCGUUGGCUUGACGGUACCGGCAAAGGAAGCACCGGCUAACUCUGUGCCAGCAGCCGCGGUAAUACAGAGGGUGCAAACGUUGCUCGGAAUUAUUGGGCGUAAAGCGCAUGUAGGCGGCACGGUAAGUCGACUGUGAAAGCCCUUGGCUCAACCAAGGAAGUGCAGUCGAAACUGCCGAGCUCGAGUUCUGAAGAGGGUCGCGGAAUGGCCAGUGUAGAGGUGAAAUUCGUAGAUAUUGGCUAGAACACCAGUGGCGAAGGCGGCGACCUGGGAAGAUACUGACGCUGAGAUGCGAAAGCGUGGGGAGCAAACAGGAUUAGAUACCCUUGUAGUCCCUGAGCGGGCUGGCAAGGCGCAU